rnacentral:sRNA from 1 species
CAAAUUUGGAUCAUUUGUUUUGGAGAAUACCUUCUGGUGUUGAUUCGUCUCCAUACCCAUGGAUUAUUUGGUAUAUCUGAAAAGCAAGAAAUGAAAAAAAUAUUUGUAAAUCAACACCAUAAAAACACUACAAGUCUCUCUUGUGCUGACACCUCAGCUUUUUCAGUUAACAAUAACUUGACACCUCAUUAAAAUCAACAGCCAAUCAGAACAUUUCCAAUAAUACACCUCAUUUACGUUGACCAAUAAAAACUUACUAUUUUUCCGUGUCAUCCCAUCAAGUUAAUAAAAUUAAAAUUAGACAUGAGCCUAGCCCAACCAAGCUAUUUUCAAAACUAAAAUCCAUAUAAAAAUAUGGGCCUAAACUUCUUAAUCUAGAAAACUUAAUCCUCGGAAAAUAAACCGCAGAGAAUAUACCGAACCAAAACCGAUAAAAA